AAAAUGUAGAGCUAAAUUGCAGUACAAUUCAAGUACAAUCAAAGAGAAAUCAAGCCUAAAAGCCACCAUGCCUCAGAGGAAUGGAGGAAAUAUCACCCAUCGUCGGGGAUAUUUCGGUCGUCCUUCUUUUCCGUCGAACAACUUCUUCAAGCGACGGUGCUUCGCCAAUGCCCAGUUGGUCAUAAUGCCAGCUGCCACCGCAAGGAACACAUAACCUGCUACCGUCUGUGUGGCGAUAUUGAAGCCAAGCCACUGGUAAAUCUCCGUCAUGUAGUUCGCACACGUCACUAUGUUAAACAAGAACCCGCGAGGGAUUUGAUAUCCGCCAUUCCCGCUAGGGCUUCUCAGAUUCCUCAACAAAAUAUGGCAAUAAAAGUUCGCAAUCUGGCAGGCCAACCCGAAGCCGAAACCGAUCUUCAUUUGCAGAUCACUGACGGGAGUGUAAUGUGGGUGGUUCACAUAGUAAGCAAUGUAGGCUCCGAAACUCCAGUAGUAGGCACAAUUUCUGAAAACAUUCGAGAGAGGAGAGGUUGCGUGACUGAAACGGUGUACGAAGAAUGUUUCCAUGAUACGUUUGAAG
rnacentral:misc_RNA from 1 species